GCACAACAGCAGCUGUGCUGCACCAUCCCUCCAGUUCUGGUUGUAAACAAGUACGGACAUUCAGCAAAGCAGGAGCUCUGUGUACUGAUGCUUGCUCUUUCCACAAACCAGCAGACAACUUGGAUAGACAGCCAGCUGAGAGACCAAAGCAGUGUCUUAGGAGGUGGGUGGAGGUGGAGUCUUCAUCUUUGGAGACACUGAAAAGCCAUCUGAAUGUGGUCCUGGGCAAGGGGCUGGAGCAGGGGGUUGGACCAGAUGAUCUCCAGAGGAUCUUCCAAUGUCAACUAUUUUGUCAUUCUUUUAUUCUGUGAAUUAGAAGAAUGUUUCUGAGGGACAAAUGUCCUCUCUUUCAGAUAUUUGUAAAGUUCCAUUUUUAUUCUGUAUUAGGCUGCAACUAUGAUGCAAAAACUCGGGUGGUUUUUGUCAUGGAUAUUUUUUACUUUUUUCCUCUAAAUCUAGAAGCACAUGUUUCCAGCCAACUUUCCUAUUAACAUCUCUAUAUUGGAAAGAGCAGAGAGUUGAACCUUUGUCUCUCAUAACAUU